rnacentral:lncRNA from 1 species
GGAUACUGUGUGUGCUUGAGCCCACCUUUUCUUUUUUAAAGAGUAAAUGAGCUUCCUUCCCCAGCUCCUUUUGCAAAAAGUGCCUGUACCACUUCCCCUGUGGUGCAGCAGAACUCCUAGUGAGGCCUAAAGUAGAUGGGUAUAUAUAACCUAUUCAAGCCUUUUACCUCAAGUAGAGCAGGUGGAGCUGGUUGCACUAAGAACUGGUAACUGGCAGUGAAAGCAGUCUGGUCAGGUCACCCUGAGGGCAGUUAUGAAAGGGAAUGACAGAGAGCAAUGGAGAGCUGCUAAGAGCUGCUAGGUCUGGCUAUUGAAAGAGUUCCAGGGAACUGUCAGUAGCUGCUGGCUUCUCCUGUCAGGAACACAGUGGCAGAGCUGAUCCCACUGGACACUGAGGGUCACUGGCAUUCACUCUUGGGGCUAUGAACACUAAGAUCUGAGAGAUGUUGGCCCUGGAAACUCAGAGCUGCUAACACUAAGGGAGGUGCACUCUGUCUAUUUGUGGUUGCUCUCCAGAUGGAUGUUUGAACCCUUAGCCAGUUGGUAACAGAGAUAUUAAAGGGACAUAGUUCAUGAAGGGAUGUACAGAGAAGGCCCCUUAAAUUAACUGAGGCCAUGUGAACAAUGUGAUGAAUGGGUUUUUGUUUAGCUUUUGAUCUGUUUUUCUUCCAGGAUCAGAGGAAGCUGCAGGCUAAAUGUAGAGACAAGGGCUUGGCCCUGCACCUGUGUACCCUGAGGAAUGGAAUCUGCAAAUACCUCCUCCUUUCAGUCCUCACCCCAAAGAGUAGCCCAGACUCCACAGCAGAAGGCAGCAGCCAUGAGAACAUGUCCCUACUAAACUAUCUUUAUUCACUCUUGACAGUCAACUCCUGUGAUUUAUAGCUUUGCCCCAGGUAUGCGCCUCUCUCCCUCUCCCAUCCCAGUACCCACCUUUUGCCUUCCUCCUACAUUCCCAGUGCCCUCCCCUUGCC